rnacentral:tRNA from 1 species
UCGAUCUCGGCCGGCUCGUCCUCGCGGCGCUGACGGCGCUGCCGCCCGACGACGAGGCGUGCGCGGCCCUGGUCCGCGAGGUCGAC